rnacentral:rRNA from 1 species
GGAAUCUUCGGCAAUGGGGGCAACCCUGACCGAGCAACGCCGCGUGAGUGAAGAAGGUUUUCGGAUCGUAAAGCUCUGUUGUAAGAGAAGAACGUGUGUGAGAGUGGAAAGUUCACACAGUGACGGUAACUUACCAGAAAGGGACGGCUAACUACGUGCCUG